UACAGAGGUCUCAACCGUUGUUCGGAUUCAUUGGGCGUAAAGGGUGCGUAGGCGGCGGGGUAAGUCAGGUGUGAAAUCUCGGGGCUCAACCCCGAAACUGCACUUGAUACUGCCUCGCUCGAGUACUGGAGAGGAGACUGGAAUUUACGGUGUAGCAGUGAAAUGCGUAGAUAUCGUAAGGAAGACCAGUGGCGAAGGCGGCAUCCUGGACCGGCAUUGACGCUGAGGAGCGAAAGCCAGGGGAGCAAACGGG
rnacentral:rRNA from 1 species